GUCCUGGCCCUAAACGAUGGGUACUAGAUUGUAGACUUGACAUGGGUUUACAGUCGAAGCAAAAGUGUUAAGUACCCCGCCUGGGGAGUAUGGUCGCAAGGCUGAAACUCAAAGGAAUUGACGGGGGCUCACACAAGCGGUGGAGCAUGUGGCUUAAUUCGAGGCUACGCGAAGAACCUUAUCCUGGGCUUGACAUGUGCGAAAGCGGUGGGAAGUAGGGGGCGGAAACGUUACCCCAACGGUAUCCAGUCCGGAACCCACUACAGGUGCUGCAUGGCUGUCGU
rnacentral:rRNA from 1 species